UACGAAGGGGGGCUAGCGUUGCUCGGAAUCACUGGGCGUAAAGGGUGCGUAGGCGGGUCUUUAAGUCAGAGGUGAAAUCCUGGAGCUCAACUCCAGAACUGCCUUUGAUACUGAAGAUCUUGAGUUCGGGGAGAGGUGAGUGGAACUGCGAGUGUAGAGGUGAAAUUCGUAGAUAUUCGCAAGAACACCAGUGGCGAAGGCGGCUCACUGGCCCGAUACUGACGCUGAGGCACGAAAGCGUGGGGAGCAAACAGGG
rnacentral:rRNA from 1 species